rnacentral:rRNA from 1 species
CUUAAAAGGAAUUGACGGGGCCGCACAAGCGGUGAGCAUGUGGUUAAUUCGAAGCAACGCGAAGAACCUUACCAGGUCUUGACAUCCCGAUGCUAUUUCUAGAGAUAGAAAGUUACUUCGGUACAUCGGUGACAGGUGGUGCAUGGUUGUCGUCAGCUCGUGUCGUGAGAUGUUGGGUUAAGUCCCGCAACGAGCGCAACCCCUAUUGUUAGUUGCCAUCAUUCAGUUGGGCACUCUAGCGAGACUGCCGGUAAUAAACCGGAGGAAGUGGGGAUGACGUCAAAUCAUCAUGCCCCUUAUGACCUGGGCUACACACGUGCUACAAUGGUUGGUACAACGAGUUGCGAGUCGGUGACGGCGAGCUAAUCUCUUAAAGCCAAUCUCAGUUCGGAUUGUAGGCUGCAACUCGCCUACAUGAAGUCGGAAUCGCUAGUAAUCGCGGAUCAGCACGCCGCGGUGAAUACGUUCCCGGGCCUU